CACUGAGGUCAAACCCUUCCCAUCUGAGAGAGCUGGACCUGAGCUACAAUCAUCCAGGAGACUCAGGAGAGAACAUUCUGUCUGCUGGACUUGACGAUCCACACUGGAGACUGGACACUCUGAGGUUAGAAAAUUGUGGAGUCCAGCAGUUGAAACCAGGACUUAGGAAGUAUGCCUGCGAACUCACAAUGGACCCAAACACAGCAC